rnacentral:rRNA from 1 species
GGUGAGUAAUGUCUGGGAAACUGCCUGAUGGGGGGGGAUAACUACUGGAAACGGUAGCUAAUACCGCAUAACGUCGCAAGACCAAAGAGGGGGACCUUCGGGCCUCUUGCCAUCGGAUGUGCCCAGAUGGGAUUAGCUUGUUGGUGGGGUAACGGCUCACCAAGGCGACGAUCCCUAGCUGGUCUGAGAGGAUGACCAGCCACACUGGAACUGAGACACGGUCCAGACUCCUACGGGAGGCAGCAGUGGGGAAUAUUGCACAAUGGGCGCAAGCCUGAUGCAGCCAUGCCGCGUGUAUGAAGAAGGCCUUCGGGUUGUAAAGUACUUUCAGCGGGGAGGAA